AAGUCGUAACAAGGUUUCCGUAGGUGAACCUGCGGAAGGAUCAUUAACACGUAUCCAACGUUAAACCCCCCCGUGAAUAUUAAGCGUGCUAAGCGACUUCCCCAUCACACUUCAAUGACACUGACAUUCAUUGAAGUGGUUUGAGGGGAAGACCAAACCACUGAACCUAGCGCUCGAUUACACCUUUAGCUUCCGCCGUCAUCGCACAAGCCAGAGGUCUCUGAAUCAAACCGUUCGACAUGAUUUACCAGAGAUUGCUGUUGUGCAAGGAUGUAACGACGCUGUAGGCACACACGGGCCGGCGUCCAAAUCACCAGGCGCAAGCCUCCCUAAAACCACAUGUCAGCGUAGGCCCUUCUGUCGUGGUUGGGCGUAAAAACGAACAACUGUUAACAAUGGAUAUCUUGGUUCUC
rnacentral:misc_RNA from 1 species